AGAGAAAAAAAUAAAUUUAUUUUCUGCGUGCUUAUGUUUUGAGUAUAUGAAAAAUAGUCUAACACAAUGUGAAAAUAAAACAGAUUUUUAUAUGAAUGAUAUCAAAGAUGUAACAUUAAAAAAGAUUUUGGAUUUACUUGAAAAUAAAAAAAAUACGAACAAUAAAAAUGAUGUGGGAAUCCUUCACAACGCAGACAAUUUACAUAAUAAAUAUUUUUUCAUGAUAUUUUUGACUUUUAUUUUUAAUUUAGAAAGCAAUGUAAUAAUAGGAAAUACAAGUGGAAAUUUUUUAAAGUACCUUGAAGAACAGUAUGAUAAAAUAAAACAUGAGAUUAGCAAAAAAUGUAAGCCGUCGAAACGCGAAAAUAAUACUAAUAAAGAUUCACAUGUGGAUGCAAAUAUAAACCAUAAGAAUGCUUUAAACUCAGAGGAAAUCGAAUUAAACACGUUAACGUUAAAUAAAAAAAACGAGAAAGUGACAGGAGAGGUAGAAACACUAUUAUCGAGUACAAGCAGAAACUUAAAAGGAUAUAUGUUGUAUGAUAAUGUUUUCCAAAAAUUUGAUGUGCUUAUUAAAAGUUGUAUAGAUUUAAAAGUAGAAAUGGAUGUUAGCACUAAUCGUGCUAGUGCUAAUAAUACCUCUGCUGAUCAUACUAGCCAUACUAAUCAUACUGGCAACAGCAAUGGCAACAACAAAAAUGAUGAAGACGAAUUGUUUAUUUAUUGCAAGGUACACAUAUUUUAUUCUAUAACAAAAUUCAUAUUUUUACUUUCCCAGUGUCAUGAGCAAAUAAGUACAAAAUAUAACAAGUACAUAAGACAUGUAAUACAAUAUAUUUUAAAUAUUAAUAUGAGUGUUUUAAUAAAAAACGAUUAUAUUUUGAAACUUAGUAACAACGUGUUAUUAAUUAUUGUAAAUCAAAAUUAUAAUAUAAUAAAAGAGUAUGAACGUGUUUUGUUUAAUUACAUAUACAUUCAGUUGAACAAGAAAAAUAAUUUAGAUAAGAUUAUAAAAAAAGUACUACUAACAUAUUUGUUAAAAAGAAAAAAUAUUAUUUUUAAUAAUGAAAUAUAUGAAAAUAUAAAUAAGUAUGCUAAUGAUAAUAUGAGUUUAUUUUUAAAAUAUAGUAAAAAAGAAAAUUUAUUCAUUUUUUUUAAUUGUUUGGACAUGUAUGUAACAUUAAUCAAUAUGGAAAUUAGUAACUCGGAGAAAAAUGUUUUUUUUUUGAAAAAUACAGAAUGUAUAAAUAUUAAUUUGAAUAUCAAUAAUUUAAUUAUGAACAUUUAUAAAUUAUUAGAACAUUUAACAAAAUUGACACAAAAAUAUAUUACAUUAAAUAGACAAAUGGAUAUAUCUUUAAAUAGUAAUAGUAGCCCGUAUGUUAUUCAGGAAAAAAAAAACACUUCGUUAUAUACUUCUACUGACAAUAAUAUUACUGUUGAACAUAUUUUAAAAAACGUUUUAAACAAAGUAAAAACAAACGAACGACCACAAAAUGAUGUAAUACAUUUAAUAACAAAUAAUGAUGAUAAAUUACAUUUCUAUGAGAACAUAUUUACCUAUAUUAAUGAUAAUGUUUUUUCUUUUUUUCAAGCAUUAAUUAAACAUAUGGACAAAGAAUUAAUUAAUAUGUAUCAACACAAUUUUAUCGAUUUAUUACAACAAUAUUUUACUCCUAAUUAUAGUUGUACCUUAUUUUUAAUCUACUUUUUAAACACAAAUUCGAUCAAUUAUUUUAAAAAAUUAUUAUUAAAAUGUCCUAUUAUCUUUGACGGAUAUAUAAAAUAUAUAAUUUCACAUUUUCAAACUAUUAAUUAUUUAACUCAAAAUAAGUUAAUUUUAAUUAAUGAAAAAACAGAGCAAGCAGAAGAAGAAUCACUUUAUAGUAUAUUACACAAAAUAAAAAUGGCAGCAUAUGGGAAAAUAUUAUUUUCUACUAAUAAGGAUGCCAUAAUUGGUAAGGGUACUAACGAUCAAUAUAAUAACAUCAAUAAUUGUGUUACUGAUAUAUAUUCCAUUUAUUAUACAUUAUAUAAUAACUGUGUAAGUACACUCCUUAUUUUUUUUAAAAACAUGGAACGAAAUUGUAAUGAUUAUCAUAUAAAAGAUAAACUUUUAUU
ensembl:lncRNA